UUCGCAAUGCCCGAAAGGGUGACGAAGCGACGCCGCGUGGGUGAGGAAGGCCUUCGGGUUGUAAAGCCCUGUCAGGAGUUAAGAAAUAUAAGUGCGCUAAUAUCGCAUUUAUUUGACGAAGGCUCCAAAGGAAGCCACGGCUAACUCUGUGCCAGCAGCCGCGGUAAUACAGAGGUGGCAAGCGUUGUUCGGAAUUAUUGGGCGUAAAGAGCACGUAGGUGGGUUUGUAAGUCAGAUGUGAAAGCCUUCUGUUCAACGGAAGAAUUGCAUCUGAAACUACAAGUCUUGAGUGUAGGAGGGGAGAAUGGAACUUCUGGUGGAGCGGUGAAAUGCGUAGAUAUCAGAAGGAACGCCGGCGGCGAAAGCGAUUCUCUGGCCUAUUACUGACGCUCAGUGUGCGAAAGCUAGGGGAGCAAACGGGAUUAGAUACCCCGGUAGUCCUAGCUGUAAACGAUGGGCACUAAGUAGAGGGGUUUU
rnacentral:rRNA from 1 species